rnacentral:lncRNA from 1 species
AUGGUUUGCUAUUAACAAUCUCUACCACUUAGCACCAAUACACUUCCUUCACUUUUGCUCUUUCCCCAUAAUUUUGAGUACAAGGGCCUCCAAUUUUUAUCAUCACUGUUUAUAUCUCAACUUGAUUGUGGAGAACCCUGUAGCCUAGUGUAUCUGCCUGCAGGCUCACUUACUUUUUUUUUUUUUUUCCUGAGAAAGUAGUCAAUUUUCAUUUAUA